rnacentral:rRNA from 1 species
GAUGAACGCUGGCGGCGUGCCUAAUACAUGCAAGUCGAGCGAACGGACGAGAAGCUUGCUUCUCUGAUGUUAGCGGCGGACGGGUGAGUAACACGUGGAUAACCUACCUAUAAGACUGGGAUAACUUCGGGAAACCGGAGCUAAUACCGGAUAAUAUUUUGAACCGCAUGGUUCAAAAGUUAAAGACGGUCUUGCUGUCACUUAUAGAUGGAUCCGCGCUGCAUUAGCGAGUUGGUAAGGUAACGGCUUACCAAGGCAACGAUGCAUAGCCGACCUGAGAGGGUGAUCGGCCACACUGGAACUGAGACACGGUCCAGACUCCUACGGGAGGCAGCAGUAGGGAAUCUUCCGCAAUGGGCGAAAGCCUGACGGAGCAACGCCGCGUGAGUGAUGAAGGUCUUCGGAUCGUAAAACUCUGUUAUUAGGGAAGAACAUAUGUGUAAGUAACUGUGCACAUCUUGACGGUACCUAAUCAGAAAGCCACGGCUAACUACGUG